rnacentral:rRNA from 1 species
UGGGGAAUCUUGGACAAUGGGCGCAAGCCUGAUCCAGCCAUGCCGCGUGGAUGAUGAAGGCCCUAGGGUUGUAAAAUCCUUUCGUUGGGGACGAUAAUGACGGUACCCAAAGAAGAAGCUCCGGCUAACUUCGUGCCAGCAGCCGCGGUAAUACGAAGGGGGCUAGCGUUGUUCGGAUUUACUGGGCGUAAAGCGCGUGUAGGCGGGUCGUUAAGUUGGGGGUGAAAUCCCGAGGCUCAACCUCGGAACUGCCUUCAAAACUGGCGACCUGGACCUAAGUAGAGGCAAAUGGAAUUGCGAGUGUAGAGGUGAAAUUCGUAGAUAUUCGCAGGAACACCAGUGGCGAAGGCGACUUGCUGGACUUAUGGUGACGCUGAGACGCGAAAGCGUGGGGAGCAAACAGGAUUAGAUACCCCCGUAGUCCCUGAGCGGGCUGGCAAGGCGCAU